rfam:Pseudoalteromonas atlantica T6c, complete genome.
AAAACAUCACCAUCAUAUAGCAUAACCUUUCAGGUUGGUGCUGGAAGGUCUAUUGAUUCCUUCCUGCGGCGUAACGAUUAACUAGCCCUCGGAAGGAAACUUCCGGGGGUUUUU